AACCAGUCCAAUAAAGAACUCAAAUAGUUUUUCAGUAUCAGUAAUAUACUACCAGUAACCUCAGAUAUCAAUUACCUGUAAACUCUGUAAUUCAUAUUAUUAAUAGACUCAAUUAUUCAGUAUCCUGGUAGUAGUAAACUCAGAUGUCAGUACAUCAGUAUUCAGUAUAGUCAUGACCCCAAUCCUAGUUUAUGUUUUCAUGUAUGUAUUUUUCAGGCGUU
rnacentral:lncRNA from 1 species